rnacentral:rRNA from 1 species
GCAGCCUGAUGCAGCAACGCCGCGUUGAGGGAUAGACGGCCUUCUCGGGUUCUCGUAAACCUCUUUUAGUAGGGAAGAAGCGAAAGUGACGGUACCUGCAGAAAAAGCACCGGCUAACUACGUGCCAGCAGCCGCGGUAAUACGUAGGGUGCAAGCGUUGUCCGGAAUUAUUGGGCGUAAAGAGCUCGUAGGCGGUUUGUCGCGUCUGCUGUGAAAUCUGGGGGCUCAACCCCCAGCCUGCAGUGGGUACGGGCAGACUAGAGUGCGGUAGGGGAGAUUGGAAUUCCUGGUGUAGCGGUGGAAUGCGCAGAUAUCAGGAGGAACACCGAUGGCGAAGGCAGAUCUCUGGGCCGUAACUGACGCUGAGGAGCGAAAGCAUGGGGAGCGAACAGGAUUAGAUACCCUGGUAGUCCAUGCCGUAAACGUUGGGAACUAGAUGUGGGGGCCAUUCCACGGUCUCCGUGUCGCAGCUAACGCAUUAAGUUCCCCGCCUGGGGAGUACGGCCGCAAGGCUAAAACUCAAAGGAAUUGACGGGGGCCCGCACAAGCGGCGGAGCAUGCGGAUUAAUUCGAUGCAACGCGAAGAACCUUACCAAGGCUUGACAUAUACCGGAAACGUCCAGAGAUGGUCGCCC